GGUUAAGCGACUAAGCGUACACGGUGGAUGCCCUGGCAGUCAGAGGCGAUGAAGGACGUGCUAAUCUGCGAAAAGCGCCGGCGAGGUGAUAUGAACCCUUGACCCGGCGAUGUCCGAAUGGGGAAACCCAGUGCAAUCCGUUGCACUAUCGUUAACUGAAUACAUAGGUUAACGAGGCGAACCGGGGGAACUGAAACAUCUAAGUACCCCGAGGAAAAGAAAUCAACCGAGAUUCCCCCAGUAGCGGCGAGCGAACGGGGAGCAGCCCAGAGUCUGAAUCAGCUUGUGUGUUAGUGGAAGCGUCUGGAAAGUCGCACGGUACAGGGUGAAAGUCCCGUACACGAAAAUGCACAGGCUGUGAACUCGAAGAGUAGGGCGGGACACGUGGUAUCCUGUCUGAAUAUGGGGGGACCAUCCUCCAAGGCUAAAUACUCCUGACUGACCGAUAGUGAACCAGUACCGUGAGGGAAAGGCGAAAAGAACCCCGGCGAGGGGAGUGAAAAAGAACCUGAAACCGUGUACGUACAAGCAGUGGGAGCACCUUCGUGGUGUGACUGCGUACCUUUUGUAUAAUGGGUCAGCGACUUAUAUUCUGUAGCAAGGUUAACCGUAUAGGGGAGCCGAAGGGAAACCGAGUCUUAACUGGGCGUUAAGUUGCAGGGUAUAGACCCGAAACCCGGUGAUCUAGCCAUGGGCAGGUUGAAGGUUGGGUAACACUAACUGGAGGACCGAACCGACUAAUGUUGAAAAAUUAGCGGAUGACCUGUGGCUGGGGGUGAAAGGCCAAUCAAACCGGGAGAUAGCUGGUUCUCCCCGAAAGCUAUUUAGGUAGCGCCUCGUGAACUCAUCUUCGGGGGUAGAGCACUGUUUCGGCUAGGGGGCCAUCCCGGCUUACCAACCCGAUGCAAACUACGAAUACCGAAGAAUGUUAUCACGGGAGACACACGGCGGGUGCUAACGUCCGUCGUGAAGAGGGAAACAACCCAGACCGCCAGCUAAGGUCCCAAAGUCAUGGUUAAGUGGGAAACGAUGUGGGAAGGCCCAGACAGCCAGGAUGUUGGCUUAGAAGCAGCCAUCAUUUAAAGAAAGCGUAAUAGCUCACUGGUCGAGUCGGCCUGCGCGGAAGAUGUAACGGGGCUAAACCAUGCACCGAAGCUGCGGCAGCGACACUAUGUGUUGUUGGGUAGGGGAGCGUUCUGUAAGCCGUUGAAGGUGGCCUGUGAGGGUUGCUGGAGGUAUCAGAAGUGCGAAUGCUGACAUAAGUAACGAUAAAGCGGGUGAAAAGCCCGCUCGCCGGAAGACCAAGGGUUCCUGUCCAACGUUAAUCGGGGCAGGGUGAGUCGACCCCUAAGGCGAGGCCGAAAGGCGUAGUCGAUGGGAAACAGGUUAAUAUUCCUGUACUUGGUGUUACUGCGAAGGGGGGACGGAGAAGGCUAUGUUAGCCGGGCGACGGUUGUCCCGGUUUAAGCAUGUAGGCGGAGGUUCCAGGUAAAUCCGGUACCUUUUAACGCUGAGGUGUGAUGACGAGGCACUACGGUGCUGAAGUAACAAAUGCCCUGCUUCCAGGAAAAGCCUCUAAGCAUCAGGUAACACGAAAUCGUACCCCAAACCGACACAGGUGGUCAGGUAGAGAAUACCAAGGCGCUUGAGAGAACUCGGGUGAAGGAACUAGGCAAAAUGGUGCCGUAACUUCGGGAGAAGGCACGCUGAUAUGUAGGUGAAGCCCCUGCGGGUGGAGCUGAAAUCAGUCGAAGAUACCAGCUGGCUGCAACUGUUUAUUAAAAACACAGCACUGUGCAAACACGAAAGUGGACGUAUACGGUGUGACGCCUGCCCGGUGCCGGAAGGUUAAUUGAUGGGGUUAGCGGUAACGCGAAGCUCUUGAUCGAAGCCCCGGUAAACGGCGGCCGUAACUAUAACGGUCCUAAGGUAGCGAAAUUCCUUGUCGGGUAAGUUCCGACCUGCACGAAUGGCGUAAUGAUGGCCAGGCUGUCUCCACCCGAGACUCAGUGAAAUUGAACUCGCUGUGAAGAUGCAGUGUACCCGCGGCAAGACGGAAAGACCCCGUGAACCUUUACUAUAGCUUGACACUGAACACUGGUCCUUGAUGUGUAGGAUAGGUGGGAGGCUUUGAAGCGUGGACGCCAGUCUGCGUGGAGCCGUCCUUGAAAUACCACCCUUUAAUGGCUGGUGUUCUAACGUAGACCCGUAAUCCGGGUUGCGGACAGUGUCUGGUAGGUAGUUUGACUGGGGCGGUCUCCUCCCAAAGAGUAACGGAGGAGCACGAAGGUUAGCUAAUCCUGGUCGGACAUCAGGAGGUUAGUGCAAUGGCAUAAGCUAGCUUGACUGCGAGAGUGACGGCUCGAGCAGGUGCGAAAGCAGGUCAUAGUGAUCCGGUGGUUCUGAAUGGAAGGGCCAUCGCUCAACGGAUAAAAGGUACUCCGGGGAUAACAGGCUGAUACCGCCCAAGAGUUCAUAUCGACGGCGGUGUUUGGCACCUCGAUGUCGGCUCAUCACAUCCUGGGGCUGAAGUAGGUCCCAAGGGUAUGGCUGUUCGCCAUUUAAAGUGGUACGCGAGCUGGGUUUAGAACGUCGUGAGACAGUUCGGUCCCUAUCUGCCGUGGGCGCUGGAGAAUUGAGGGGGGCUGCUCCUAGUACGAGAGGACCGGAGUGGACGCAUCACUGGUGUUCGGGUUGUCAUGCCAAUGGCACUGCCCGGUAGCUAAAUGCGGAAGAGAUAAGUGCUGAAAGCAUCUAAGCACGAAACUUGCCCCGAGAUGAGUUCUCCCUGAGACUUAAAGUCUCCUGAAGGAACGUUGAAGACGACGACGUUGAUAGGUCGGGUGUGUAAGCGCAGCGAUGCGUUGAGCUAACCGAUACUAAUGAACCGUGAGGCUUAACCUU
rnacentral:rRNA from 1 species